rnacentral:rRNA from 1 species
CCUACGGGAGGCAGCAGUGGGGGAUAUUGCACAAUGGGGGGAACCCUGAUGCAGCGACGCCGCGUGGGUGAAGGAGCGUUUCGGCGCGUAAAGCCCUAUCGGCAGGGAAGAAGGAGGACGGUACCUGACUAAGAAGCCCCGGCUAACUACGUGCCAGCAGCCGCGGUAAUACGUAGGGGGCAAGCGUUAUCCGGAUUUACUGGGUGUAAAGGGGGCGCAGACGGCAGCGCAAGCCAGGAGUGAAAACCCAAGGCUCAACCAUGGGACUGCUUUUGAAACUGUCAAACUAGAGUACGGGAGAGGUAAGAGGAAUUCCUAGUGUAGCGGUGAAAUGCGUAGAUAUUAGGAGGAACACCAGUGGCGAAGGCGUCUUACUGGACCGAAACUGACGUUGAGGCUCGAAAGCGUGGGGAGCAAACAGGAUUAGAUACCCCAGUAGUC